AUGAUAUAAUUAUAUUUAAAAAUACUCUAAAAUGAUCCGUUACUCAAAACCCGGACCCUUGAAAUCCCAAUCCAUAUCAGAAAUAAAGAAAAUCAGAUAACUGGUGUUCUCGCGGGCCGCGUAAGAAAUAGGCAGACGGUCACGCGGGCCGCGACAGCUCGUGGGUAUCCGGAUAUGCAUGACGACCACGUGUCAUCACACGCGUCGCAACCACUGGUGACUCAGCUAUCUCCGGUCUGAUCUAAGCUUCCACGCGGGCCGCGUAAGAGUCGGCCGAAGGUUCACGCGGGCCGCGACAAACCCCAAUUUCACCUAUAAAUUGCCUGGACAUCGAGCUUUCAUUCUGUGUCGAAAGUUUCUUUUAGAAACGAAGUAAUACUGUCCAAAUUCAAAUAUUACUCUCAUAGUAGUGGGGUACUGCUACGAUACCGGGUAUUAACUCGAUCGCUGCUACGAUUCAAUGUCCGAUCGAUUGAAACUAUCCGACCGGAUGUUUAAGUACUAUCCUUUGUCAUUAGUCGUGAUUCCGACAGGAUGUUUAAGUACCACCCGAACUCGGGGAAUACUCUGUCAUUCGUUGUGAAUCUGAUGGAUGUUUAAGUGAUUGCACUUUGUCAUUCGUUGUGAGGGUUUUAAUCUCGUGAGUUAUCGUAAAAGCUAUAUUAGUUAUUUACCUAGUUCGUGUGCACUAGGUUACAAGGCUAAUCAAUAGACUAAGCUCUGCCUGCAUAAAUCUGCAAUAUAUCAAGGCUUAUCUGUAGACUAGAAAUUUCCCGUAUGAAUCUGCAUGCUUAUAAUGUAAUUACAGUAGAUUAGAGUAAGAAUUGGAUCCGG
rnacentral:lncRNA from 1 species